rnacentral:lncRNA from 1 species
CACGGUUCUUUUAUUAUACCUUCAUAGCUUGAAAUUAUGAGCCAAUUUGAUGAAGCACGAGUUGGGACCUACUGCAGUCUUCACCUUCAUGGCUUGAAAAAGCUGAGGCUGCACCUCAACUGGUACUCUCACAUUCUAACCCAGGUAAUGGAACACAAAUCCAACGCAUGAAGAAUUAAAAGCAAGGAAACGUGGGAUUAAAAUGCUCGGUUGGGCCUGAGGAUUCAGCAUUAUGAUAAUCGCCUUAUGCAGUAAGUGAGAUAAAUCAACCAGACUACAAAGGAAGUGUUUGUAAGCAGAAGAAUGAAUUGGAAAUAAGUUGGUUAUUCACAAUUCAAUUCCUACGACAACCACCCGCCAGGAAUCCUUGGAGGUUCAAAGAACCAGAAGAAUAACUGGGUCUUCAUUUGAAGGUUGAGAGCCUGGGAAGUUUGUCUCUCAGAUAAUACAACCUUG